rnacentral:rRNA from 1 species
AGAAUCAACGCUGGCGGCGUGCCUAACACAUGCAAGUCGAACGAGAAAGUGGGAGCAAUCCCACGAGUAAAGUGGCGCACGGGUGAGUAACACGUGACUAACCUACCCUUGAGUGGGGGAUAACCUAGGGAAACCUGGGCUAAUACCGCAUAAUACCUACGGGUCAAAGGAGCAAUUCGCUUUAGGAGGGGGUCGCGGCAGAUUAGUUAAUUGGCGGGGUAAUGGCCCACCAAGACAGUGAUCUGUA